rnacentral:rRNA from 1 species
UACGUAGGGUGCGAGCGUUACUCGGAAUUACUGGGCGUAAAGCGUGCGCAGGCGGUUUUGUAAGCCAGAUGUGAAAGCCCCGGGCUUAACCUGGGAACUGCAUUUGUGACUGCAUUGCUGGAGUGCGGCAGAGGGGGAUGGAAUUCCGCGUGUAGCAGUGAAAUGCGUAGAUAUGCGGAGGAACACCGAUGGCGAAGGCAAUCCCCUGGGCCUGCACUGACGCUCAUGCACGAAAGCGUGGGGAGCAAACAGG